rnacentral:rRNA from 1 species
GACGAACGCUGGCGGCGUGCUUAACACAUGCAAGUCGAACGGAAAGGCCUCUUUCGGGGGGUACUCGAGUGGCGAACGGGUGAGUAACACGUGAGUAACCUGCCCUUGACUUUGGGAUAACUUCAGGAAACUGGGGCUAAUACCGGAUAGGAGCUCCUGCUGCAUGGUGGGGGUUGGACAGUUUCGGCGGUUGGGGAUGGACUCGCGGCUUAUCAGCUUGUUGGUGGGGUAGUGGCUUACCAAGGCUUUGACGGGUAGCCGGCCUGAGAGGGUGACCGGCCACAUUGGGACUGAGAUACGGCCCAGACUCCUACGGGAGGCAGCAGUGGGGAAUAUUGCACAAUGGGUGGAAGCCUGAUGCAGCAACGCCGGGUGCGGGAUGACGGCCUUCGGGUUGUAAACCGCUUUCGCUCAUGACGAAGCUUUGUGUGACGGUAGUGGGUAAAGAAGCACCGGCUAACUACGUG